CCUACGGGAGGCAGCAGUGGGGAAUAUUGCACAAUGGGGGAAACCCUGAUGCAGCGACGCCGCGUGAGUGAAGAAGUAAUUCGUUAUGUAAAGCUCUAUCAGCAGGGAAGAAAAUGACGGUACCUGAGUAAGAAGCCCCGGCUAACAACGUGCCAGCAUCCGCGGUAAUACGUAGGGGGCAAGCGUUAUCCGGAUUUACUGGGGGUAAAGGGAGCGUAGACGGGAGUGCAAGUCUGGAGUGAAAGGCGGGGGCUCAACCCCCGUACUGCCCUGGAAACUGUAGGGCUGGAGUGCAGGAGAGGUAAGUGGAAUGCCUAGUGUAGCGGUGAAAUGCGUAGAUAUUAGGAGGAACUCCGGUGGCGAAGGCGGCUUACUGGACUCUAACUGACGUUGAGGCACGAAAGCGUGGGGAGCGAACAGGAUUAGAUACCCCUGUAGUC
rnacentral:rRNA from 1 species